rnacentral:rRNA from 1 species
GACGAACGCUGGCGGCGUGCCUAAUACAUGCAAGUAGAACGCACAGUUUAUACCGUAGCUUGCUACACCAUAGACUGUGAGUUGCGAACGGGUGAGUAACGCGUAGGUAACCUGCCUGGUAGCGGGGGAUAACUAUUGGAAACGAUAGCUAAUACCGCAUAAUAUUAAUUAUUGCAUGAUAAUUAAUUGAAAGGUGCAAUUGCACCACUACCAGAUGGACCUGCGUUGUAUUAGCUAGUAGGUGAGGUAACGGCUCACCUAGGCGACGAUACAUAGCCGACCUGAGAGGGUGAUCGGCCACACUGGGACUGAGACACGGCCCAGACUCCUACGGGAGGCAGCAGUAGGGAAUCUUCGGCAAUGGACGAAAGUCUGACCGAGCAACGCCGCGUGAGUGAAGAAGGGUUUCGGAUCGUAAAGCUCUGUUGCAAGAGAAGAACGGGUGUGAGAGUGGAAAGUUCACACUGUGACGGUAUCUGACCAGAAAGGGACGGCUAACUACGUG